AACGAACGCUGGCGGCAUGCCUAACACAUGCAAGUCGAACGAGACCUUCGGGGUUUUUGGCGCACGGGGGCGUAACGCGGGGGAACCUGCCCUUUGGUUCCGAAUCACUCCCCUAAAGAGGUGCUAAUACCGGAUAAUUUCUUCGGACCAAAGAUUUAUGGCCUUUGGGUGGGGCCGCGUUGGAUUAGCUAGUUGGUAGGGUAAAAGCCUACCACGGCGACGAUCCAUAGCUGGUCGGAGAGGAUGAUUAGCCACACUGGGACUGAGACACGGCCCAGACUCCUACGGGAGGCAGCAGUGGGGAAUAUUGGACAAUGGGCGAAAGCCUGAUCCAGCAAUGCCGCGUGAGUGAUGAAGGCCUUAGGGUUGUAAAGCUCUUUUACCCGGGAUGAUAAUGACAGUACCGGGAGAAUAAGCGCCGGCUAACUCCGUG
rnacentral:rRNA from 1 species